ensembl:lncRNA
CAGCGACGCAUUCACACUGCAGGCUUCACUGCUCAUGGGGACCGUAAGGACUCUGCACUUAAGACUCAAUCUGGACUUUUGAAAAGUCAGCCCAGUAAACAAACCAUCACAUUCCGGAAAACCAAACAGGUGUGCGCAUCCCUGUUGUCUUCCACCCUAGCGACCCACCUGGCCACUCCCCCUCCUAACACCUACGUGGAUGGUCUGGUGGAACAUAACAAUACUGCUCUCUCCCUCAGCUUGGAAUCAGUCGCCCACUGAUGCCAACCCACUGAUGCCGUAGACCUGUGCUCCAGGUUCUUGGAUUUCUUCCAAAGAAAAGUGGAAUCCAUUCACAACCACCCUCUGCAACAGUCUAUGCCACCCUCUUCUACUCCCCCCCAUCCUGGUGCCUACACCUCUACUGCCUGUCCACUGCAGUGCUGUUUCUCCUCUUUCACCACACUGGACUCUGACCGGGUGCUUGACUUGGUGUCCAAAGCUAAGACCUCUUCCAGCAAGCUGGAUCCUAUGCCUACCACCUUGGUGAAGACCUGCCUCCCUGUCACCUGACCCUCUAUAGAGCUCGUAAGUCGCCAUUGCUCAUGGGACCUAUGAGACCGAAAAAAAUGAAUGGGAGUCAAUGGAGAGGAAGUAAUUAUUUUUCUGAUCCCAGUCUUUAUAUGCCCCGGAUUACACAUAUGUUGUUUGUGGAUUUAAAUGAUAAUUUUUCAUGCAAAGAAAACUAUAAUUUAGCGGGUAGGAGUUUGAUACGGUUAGUUUUUGUGUGGGGCGCUUUGUGGACUACAACUCCCGCUGCUCUCGACACGUAUGAUAUACGUCACCACCACUCGCAAACAGAUCCCGCAGUCGGAACAUGGCUGUGUCUUUGGUGCACUUUACCACCUUCUUUCAAGGAAGGUGCUCUCCUUGAAAGAAGGAGAAAAGUUCUGCAUUAAAUUCAAAAUUCUAUUACUCACAUAAGUCCCUUCAUGCUCUGGUCCCACGUUACCUCUCUGACCUCCUCCACCCCUACACCCCCCUGCGGUCCCUCAGGUCCUCUGACAAGGACCAGCUGCCAAUUCCCCGCACGAGACUCAAGACCUUUGGGGAUAGGGCCUUUUGCGUGUCCGCCCCCACUCUGUGGAAUCAGCUCCCCCCCAACAUCCGCUGUGCCCCUUCCGUGGAGACUUUCAAAAAGUACACGAAAGCACACCUUUUCUCUGAGGCCUAUGGCCUCUAACUCACGACCACACCAAGCGCCUUGCGCAUUUUGCACUCUUACUCAGUUGCCUACACAUACACCCUCACCUCCCACUCUCGUGAAGCGACCUUGAGUAUCCUGAAAGGCG